CCAUCAGGUAGACGGCGGGGUGACGGCCCACCGUGCCGACAACGGGUAGCCGGGUUGAGAGACCGACCGGCCAGAUUGGGACUGAGACACGGCCCAGACUCCUACGGGAGGCAGCAGUGGGGAAUCUUGCGCAAUGGGGGCAACCCUGACGCAGCGACGCCGCGUGCGGGAUGGAGGCCUUCGGGUCGUAAACCGCUUUCAGCAGGGACGAGUCAAGACUGUACCUGCAGAAGAAGCCCCGGCUAACUAC
rnacentral:rRNA from 1 species